rnacentral:antisense_RNA from 1 species
CUUCAGCGAGCCCAACCACAGCGGCCGUUCACCAGUGUGGUGCUGACCGUAAGUGGCCAGCAGUGCUUGGGCUUC